rnacentral:rRNA from 1 species
UACGGAGGGUGCGAGCGUUAAUCGGAAUUACUGGGCGUAAAGGGUGCGUAGGUUGUUUUAUAAGUUAGCUGUGAAAUUCCUGGGCUUAACCUGGGGUUGUCAGCUAAGACUGUAGGACUCGAGUAUGGGAGAGGGUAGUGGAAUUUCCGGUGUAGCGGUGAAAUGCGUAGAGAUCGGAAGGAACACCGGUGGCGAAGGCGGCUACCUGGCCUGAUACUGACACUGAGGCACGAAAGCGUGGGGAGCAAACAGG